CUGAGGGUGUGGACGUGCGUGUCGAUGCCGCCCGGCGUCGCGAUGAGACCGUCGCCGUCGAUCACGACGGUGCCCGUGCCGACGACGACGUCGAUGCCGUCCGUCGUGUCGGGGUUGCCCGCCUUGCCGAUCCCGCUGAUCCGACCAGCACGGAUGCCGAUGCUCGCCACCCGGACGCCGUCGACCGGGUCGAGGACGACGACGUUCGUGAUGAGCACGUCGCACGUCUCGCGGGCGCCCCGCGCGACCAGGCCCAGGCCGUCGC
rnacentral:sRNA from 1 species